rnacentral:rRNA from 1 species
GACGAACGCUGGCGGCGUGCUUAACACAUGCAAGUCGAACGGAAAGGCCCUGCUUUUGUGGGGUGCUCGAGUGGCGAACGGGUGAGUAACACGUGAGUAACCUGCCCUUGACUUUGGGAUAACUUCAGGAAACUGGGGCUAAUACCGGAUAGGAGCUCCUGCUGCAUGGUGGGGGUUGGAAAGUUUCGGCGGUUGGGGAUGGACUCGCGGCUUAUCAGCUUGUUGGUGGGGUAGUGGCUUACCAAGGCUUUGACGGGUAGCCGGCCUGAGAGGGUGACCGGCCACAUUGGGACUGAGAUACUGCCCAGACUCCUACGGAAGGCAGCAGUGGGGAAUAUCGCACAAUGGGCUGAAGCCUGAUGCAGCAACGCCGCGUGCGGGAUGACGGCCUUCGGGUUGUAAACCGCUUUCGCCUGUGACGAAGCGUGAGUGACGGUAAUGGGUAAAGAAGCACCGGCUAACUACGUGCCAGCCGCCGCCGUAAUAC